CGGAAACAAUCUAAAUUAAUAAUGACCCAAAUGGAUGUCAACGUCAUCAUUAAAAUAAAAAAGGAGUUGAGAUAAGAGAGCUGCUCAUUUCAUGACAACAAUGUUUUCGAUGUUCAUUGAUUUUUAAUUUAUCAACGCUAUUCAUCUAAAAUUAAAAUGAUAUGAUGCACCAAGUGAAUCGAAGAGGUUUCAGAAACAAAAAUCCAGAGUAAAAAUUCAGUUUCGAUUUUGAAGCCGCCGGAUUGUGAUGAUAUUUGUAUAUUCCCAUCUAAGACGAUUACAUAGAAAACGAAACCUCUGUUACAUGAGACCGUUAACCACAAAAAAACUGAGGGGAUACUUAAUUUUGUGAUGUUUCGACUCUAAUUUCUGACCUGUAAUGAAUCUGCACAUCUGGUUCCCAGGAUCAAAUGCAAAAGACGAGAUUGUUCUUCAGGAGAUUAGCAUUUUAAAGAACCAGAAAGAUGAUUCUGGUUGCGCUGCUACUGAUUUUAUUCGACAUAGUAAGUUCAUUUCUUCUGUUAUUUCUUUACGCGCAUGUACCUUUACACCAGGGUCUCACCAUAAAAUUCAUCAUGCCAUUAUACAUUCUGUGAAACAUUCUGAUAUAGGUCAAAUUUAUUUCGUUUGUUUAUUUGUUUUCAAAUUCCAUGUUCGUGAGUUAAGUUAUAAACUGCUCAACCAAACCUGUCUUUUGCCUUUCUUGCAGGAAGCUACAAAUAUCGUCGAAGAACAAUCUACAUGCUCCACCUUCCAGAAUCUCACAAAGACACCUAAAUUCAUUGACAAAUCCCUGCUGAUCAGACAUAUCCUGGAUAGCUCCAGACACAUCUACAUAUCAGCUCCACCAGGUUUCGGUAAAUCAACCAACCUGCAGAUGCUCAAGGAGUUUUUCGCCUUGGAGGUGGACUCACGUGGAGAUUUCAUUGAUCCGGUGAAGGUUUUAAAAUCGGACGAGACCUUCCAAGACUCCCUGAAGAGAUGCGUGGACGACCGUCAGAACACCUCGACAGGACGUGGAACCUUUGUAACCGAUAUUAAAGGUCUAUGUGCCUACGUGAACGUCACAAAACCUUUCAGCGUUUUUGCGAACCCUCUGAAUAGCUACGAUACCUUCUCCAAGUUGCCACUAAAAAUACAUAAGGAAUCGCCGAAUCUUUUCGAGACUCAGUUCGCACGCUAUCCUGUUCUCUUGGUCGACUUUGGAGCUCUAUCUACGAAGUCCUUCCAAGAUUACGUGCGUUCCUUUCAAAUACUUGUCUUGAAGCUCUUCGAGCAAUUUCAGUACUUGCUUAAGAGCAGCGCUCUAACUCAAGGUUCCAAGGACGAAUUUUUACUCUUCCAUGACCAAGAACAACACAAAGAACUGAGCAUAGACGAGGUCAUUCUUGGGGGAGAGAAACUCGUUCUUCUGUUGUCAGCUCAUCAUGACCGAAAAUCGAUAGUUUUGGUGGACAACUUCGAUGUGCCCAUUCGUAAGGCUCUGCUGGCGCCACACCUGGACGAGGUAAUCUUUAAGAGGAUCAUGUGGAGUGCUUCUCAUUUUGUCAAGUUGCUCGUAGAAAGCAAGUUCGUCUUUCGGAUCGUGGUGACGGGUAAUCUUAGGAUUGACACCACAAAUGGAUUAAAAUGCCUUUCCAUUUUCGAUGAUGAACAUUUGUAUCGGUACUACGGCCUCAUGAAAAAUGAUAUCUCUCAACUUGCGAGAAGAUUUAACAAACAAGAACACAUUAGCAACGUCGGAAGUUGGUAUGGCGGCUACAAAGUAACACGUAAGGGUCACUGUCUCUACAACACACGCUCAACAUUACGCUAUUUUGAGACUGGCGAGUUCAAACCUUAUCGAGAUGAAGCGAAUAUAUUAAAACCCUCAAAAAAGUGCUGAGCUACACUCGAGCGGGUCGUUAUGUCGAGGACUCCUUCGAGGAUAACACAACGCUUGUCAUGCGAGAGAAGAUUGAGUAUAGUCACUUUGAAGAUCUGCGAUUGACAAUCUUCAACCCUAAUCGACCACUUGACAAGAAAGACCUAGUUUUGCAGAUCCUCUUCGAUCAUGGUUUUUUCACGCUGGGAAACAGAAAUAAACUUAAAGUGCCAAACAUCGAAGCUAUGCAAGACAUCAAGAGUCUAAUCUUCGACCGAACAUACUACAUGACCAAACUGAAAAUCACGAAAGAAAUCAUUCGUGCUUUCUUGAGAAGCAUAGAGGGACUGAGUGGGGAGGACGGGCCUUUCCACGACUUCUCCAGAGCGGUCAUAGAGCUUUUCAGGGGUCAAGUGCCGCGAAGUGCGCGGGAAAUGGCACACACCUUGGUCUUUCUAGCGGCCGAUGCUCGAAAGUUCAGCCUGGUGCGUGGUGAAGAGACCCCAGAUGGCAAUCGACAAGACGUCCUCGUGAAGCGGUCUACAGAAAUGGGGAUUGUAAUAGGGAUCAUGGUUGGGUCGGUCAACGAUGAAGCGCUGAAACCCGUUUUUACGAAGAGUUUACAGGUCUUUCAUGACUGUAGGGUGAAGGUUGCCAUCCUGUUGGGUUUGAAACCGGGUGAAAAGGGUGGAGAUCUUGAAGUUUUAUUUACCGAAAUAUUACCGUCCGAAAACCAAUCCGUCGUGGAGAGGAGUGAACAUCUCCAUCAUGAGGCACAUGUAAACCAUGGCGCCAUGACAAGAAAAGAGAAAAUUGUAAUCGGUCAUGUUGUCACAUCAUCCACCCUGUCUUCGACAGCCACAUUUAAUCAGAACCAGACCGUUAAACCUUGAGAUAUGUGGGCACUAAAAGGAUACAUGGAUACAAUACGCACAAGGAUACAGGGAUAUAAUGAGGCAAGACUUUCUGCUGCGUAAAAGCUGAGAAAAGUAAGGAAAAAAUUCCAUCGUAAUUUAUUUAAUCACCGUCGAUCAUUUUCGGACAGUUUCCGGAAGAAUUAGAAUUAUCUCAGUUUCCCAAUCCCUUUCGACGGCACUUUUGAAUUUUAAUCUGUCAAUCUGCUCCAAUUAGAGAGUCGAUGUCAUCAAUACUUCUUUCAAAAAAGUAAGCUUUUUACCUACAUUAUUUUGAAAUUGUAUUACAUAAAAAAAAACGAAAGAUUUAAAUACUUCAUCGAAUGAGACUAUGCUUCUAAUUACUCAUAAAUGUUAAAAUUCUGUAGUUAAGGGCUGAAGAACCGUUAACAACAUUUUCACCGAUUCGAGAAAUCAGAGAAAAACCGUGCGACAACUCUAUUGCAUUGCCAGCAUCGUAUUUUGCAAAUUUAAAAACCCUGUAUCUUGGGCCUGAUGUAACAUAUCAUAGCCAAUGUGUUUACAAGUACGAUAUAAAAAUAUCGAGAACGCAAAUAACUCGAUUUUUCCAAAAUUGUUGAUUACGUUUCUUCAGCGCUUGAUUAUAAAGUGAUGAAUCUUCAAUGAUCACUAUGUUUGCAUGGAUAAGAAAAUUCAUCACUAAGAUUGGUUUCCAACUAUCGCGCAUGUUGUUGGUAACGAUUAGCUUGAUAAUGAAACACCUAAGAGAAUCAGAUAUGAAAAGUCCCUUCAAACCGGUGAGUAUGCUUGGUGCUACAUCAGUGGAGUCUGUAAAAUCGUAUCACUCAGAAAUGAAGGCGCACAGGAGGACACAGGACACACGCUAUUCGCGCACAGUGGAUCGAGUCAAUCAGAGAGGUCGGACAUGAAAUUUAUGACAAAAACUGCAAAUGUUGAUGUUUAUUUCGUCAUAUUUAAACUUCAAGGGGUGCUUGAAGUGGAAAAUUUCACGAAGAAACCAAUGAACUCGCUUUUAGAACCUCAAAGUUUGUAUCUAAACGGAGUUAAAAGCGUUUAUACUAUCCUUUGUUCCGAUCUCUCCUAUUGACUCGAUCCACUGUGUGGCGUCAAGGACUCCUGGACACUGACAAAGAGUCAGGCUCUCAAUGCGGAUGAUGAAACUUUUGGAAAAGAGAAGGUGGGUUUUAAGACAGAAAAAAAUUUAUUUAGGCGUAUUUAAACAUAUCAGUCUGUUAUUAAAAAAUCUAGAAUGACAACAACAGCAAAUUUAACUAUAUUAGUAACUUAAAACCUCAGAAAAGUUUUCAAAAGGAAUGUUUUGCAAUUAAUUUAUGAAAAAUAAGACUCUAUAUAUUUGUGACUUCAAGAAAAUUGGGGGAAUGGGGGGGGGGGGGGUUGGAUUUUAUACAUUUUGUGUAUGGUGUCAAUACCUUGUGGAGAUUUAAAAAUUCAUGAGAUCAUAAAAUGUGAAAACAAGUUAAAUGAACUCUCUAAAACCCGCAUUGAAUUAAAAUGGAAGUAUAAAUGUUACUGUAUGAGAUUUUGAAUUUAACAAUGGGACACGAUUUCAAUUUUGAAGGACGUAAGCACAGAACCUUUUGAAGGAAGAAGCAAAGAGGACAAUAAUUCUAUCGUCUCUAUCAUUAUGCGCGUGCAGGACUUUAACGUCAAAUCGGCCUCCAAAGCAAGUAAUGAAUGAAAAACUACUACGAAUUUCCACGAAUAAUAUUUUGGGUUCUUUAUUUUUCACUCUAUAAACCUUUUUAGACACUUUCAUGAAAGUAUAGUGGGUCUGGCCUCUUGAAAACCUGAAAAUGUGUGAAAAAGGACCGAUUUCACUUUGGUGUAUAGGAUCAUAUUUUAUCACUUUGUUGCUAUCAACGCUAUUUAUCUGAAAUCAUUAUGGACGUUAUAAUCUGGUUGAGUCGGUAGAAUUAAUCUAACAACGAGGCAAAGUAUAGAGGUUUUGACACUUGACAAAGUGUUUUCUUUGACGAUGGAUAGUAAAACCGAGAAAUCCUUCCAAGAACACGCGAGAUAUCAAAAGUGACACAUCGUAGGAGUUGCACAGUGGCCAAUUUCUGAUGAAAUCGUACACUAACUUUCGAGAAUCAAAUGUCUUUUCAAAAAAGACCGUCUUUCAGAAAUUCGGAACCCUUGAAGAGGCGAAAAGAUGAUUUGCAAUUGCUCUUUCUGCUUGCACCCGUUUUAGUAAGUCCAGCUCUCCCAUUCUAUUUCCUCUUUAUAUCUAUGAAAAGAAAGCCAUAAUGAUGAAAAU
rnacentral:lncRNA from 1 species